GGAUGGCUCUGGGGAUGACUCUG
rnacentral:piRNA from 1 species